rnacentral:lncRNA from 1 species
UACUUUCAGUUCACCAUCGGAGUUGUACCGAUGUUUGCCAUUACCUUUAUCGGCUACUGGGCUUACGGAGCUUCAACAUCCACAUACUUGCUUAAUAGUGUAAGCGGUCCACUUUGGGUGAAGGCGGCUGCUAACAUUUCUGCCUUCCUGCAAUCCAUCAUUUGUUUGCACGUGAGUAAACACUUGCUUGUUUGUAUCAUUAACCAUUUUUAGCUAUGCUUCACAAACCUCUGAACUUCCUCCGCUGGCUGCUGCAGAUAUUUGCGAGUCCAACUUAUGAGUAUUUGGACACCAAGUUCGGCAUUAGAGGAAGCGCCUUGCAGCUUAACAGCCUGUCCUUCAGAAUUGCAGCAAGAGGCGGGUACCUCGUUAUCAGUACACUGGUGUCGGCUCUUCUACCGUUCCUCGGAGAUUUCGAAAGCCUUACGGGGGCAUUGAGCACGUUUCCACUAACAUUUAUCCUAGCAAACCACAUGUACAUUGUGGCAAAGAAGGACA